CCAAUGUAUGUUAAUAGAAUGUUGUGCCUAUAUAAUAUAUACAACUUUCAGCAACGGAUCUCUUGGCUCUCGCAUCGAUGAAGAACGCAGCGAAAUGCGAUAAGUAAUGUGAAUUGCAGAAUUCAGUGAAUCAUCGAAUCUUUGAACGCACCUUGCGCUCCUUGGUAUUCCGAGGAGCAUGCCUGUUUGAGUGUCAUUAAUAUAUCAACCUUCUCUUUUUUGAGUUGUUUGGAUGUGGGGGUUUGCUGGCCUCUUAAAUGAUUCAGCUCCCCUGAAAUGCAUUAGCAGAACAACCUGUUCAUUGGCGUGAUAAUUAUCUAUGCUAUUGAAUGUGAGGGCAGUUCAGCUUUCUAACCGUCCUCGGACAAUUCAUCAUUAAUGUGACCUCAAAUCAGGUAGGACUACCCGCUGAACUUAAGCAUAUCAAU
rnacentral:rRNA from 1 species